GCCAGGAUGCCAGAAUGGUAAUGGGUCAGUCUCGAACGACGCCUACCCUUUCUAGAAGAAAGGCUUGGCACACCCAAAGACUACGUACGAUAAUUUUUGGAAAAAGAGAUAACUGAUGUCUUCACAGACUCGGAGGUUCGAAUCCUCCUCCUGGCG
rnacentral:tRNA from 1 species